rnacentral:rRNA from 1 species
GGUUAAGUUAAUAAGGGCGCACGGUGGAUGCCUUGGCACUAGAAGCCGAUGAAGGACGUGACAAACGACGAAAUGCUUUGGGGAGUUGUAAGUAAGCGCAGAUCCAGAGAUGUCCGAAUGGGGAAACCCAA